UCCAGGUCUUCGUGGUCAAAGAUAACGGCUCUCAAAGGAAUGUGGGCCAUACAUUGUGAUGCCCACUAUAUUUGAUCUAUAAUUUAAUCAUCAUACAAAUUCUAAAAAUGAUAUCCCCAAAUUGAUCUGAUAUGAGGAGCUGAUCGAAGAUUCUACAGCCAAGAAGUCAGGGAAAUGCUUAGGAGAAUAUUUCGUGAAGUGAAUCAGUUGGAAAAUUAUUGUUUGCCGUUUAUUUGUGGUAUCUGUGGAGUCUACAGAAGUCAUUUGCUUGAGAGACGCUCCCCAUUCCACCCAGGAGAGUGCUUCCCAUGGAUGCCUUCAGUCUGGACUUCAUUUGCUCCAGUUGUCUGAAACAGUCUGG